CGCGGCGUAGCUCAGUUGGAAAGAGCACCUUGCUUUCGACGCGCAUUUGGAUGUCACAGUCACAAUGUACGGGCAAGGAGGUCGCGGGUUCAAGUCCCGCCGCCGCGC
rnacentral:tRNA from 1 species